CCUACGGGAGGCUGCAGUAGGGAAUCUUCCACAAUGGGCGAAAGCCUGAUGGAGCAACGCCGCGUGGGUGAAGAAGGUCUUCGGAUCGUAAAACCCUGUUGUUAGAGAAGAAAGUGCGUGAGAGUAACUGUUCACGUUUCGACGGUAUCUAACCAGAAAGCCACGGCUAACUACGUGCCAGCAGCCGCGGUAAUACGUAGGUGGCAAGCGUUAUCCGGAGUUACUGGGCGUAAAGGGAACGCAGGCGGUCUUUUAAGUCUGAUGGGAAAGCCUUCGGCUUAACCGGAGUAGUGCAUUGGAAACUGGGAGACUUGAGUGCAGAAGAGGAGAGUGGAACUCCAUGUGUAGCGGUGAAAUGCGGAGAUAGAUGGAAGAACACCAGUGGCGAAAGCGGCUCUCUGGUCUGUAACUGACGCUGAGGUUCGAAAGCGUGGGUAGCAAACAGGAUUAGAUACCCUUGUAGUC
rnacentral:rRNA from 1 species